ACGAAAGUCUGACGGAGCAACGCCGCGUGUACGACGAAGGCCUUCGGGUUGUAAAGUACUGUCUUCAGGGAAGAAUGGCAUUUAUGUGAAUAAUGUAGAUGCAUGACGGUACCUGAGGAGGAAGCCCCGGCUAACUACGUGCCAGCAGCCGCGGUAAUACGUAGGGGGCAAGCGUUGUCCGGAAUCAUUGGGCGUAAAGGGCGCGUAGGCGGAUUUUUAAGUCUGGUGUGAAAACCUAGGGCUCAACCCUGGGACUGCAUCGGAAACUGGAGAUCUUGAGGACAGGAGAGGAAAGUGGAAUUCCACGUGUAGCGGUGAAAUGCGUAGAUAUGUGGAGGAACACCAGUGGCGAAGGCGACUUUCUGGACUGUAACUGACGCUGAGGCGCGAAAGCGUGGGGAGCAAACAGGAUUAGAUACCCUGGUAGUCCACGCCGUAAACGAUGAGUGCUAGGUGUAGAGGGUAUCGACCCCCUCUGUGCCGCAGUUAACACAAUAAGCACUCCGCCUGGGGAGU
rnacentral:rRNA from 1 species